GACGAACGCUGGCGGCGUGCUUAACACAUGCAAGUCGAACGAAGUGGCGAACGGGUGAGUAAUGCCUAGGAAUCUUCCUGGAAGUGGGGGAUAACGUCCGGAAACGGGCGCUAAUACCGCAUACUAUCAGAUGAGCCUAGGUCGGAUUAGCUAGGUGGUGGGGGAAAGGCCUACCAAGGCGACGAUCCGUAACUGGACUGAGAGGAUGAUCAGUCACACUGGAACUGAUACACGGUCCAGACUCCAACGGGAGGCAGCAGUGGGGAAGAUUGGGCAAUGGGCGAAAGCCUGAUCCAGCCAUGCCGCGUGGGUGAAGAAGGUCUUCGGAUUGGAAAGCACUUUAAGUUGGGAGGCGUUACUAACAGAAUAAGCACCGGCUAACUUCGUGCCAGCAGCCGCGGUAAUAC
rnacentral:rRNA from 1 species